GAACUUAGGAUAAUCAGACCAAGGGCCUUCAAAGCCCUCAGUAGAAGUUAAACUCUUCUAGUUUC
rnacentral:tRNA from 1 species